rnacentral:rRNA from 1 species
GUUGGUGGGGUAAAGGCCUACCAAGGCGACGAUCAGUAGCGGGUCUGAGAGGAUGAUCCGCCACACUGGGACUGAGACACGGCCCAGACUCCUACGGGAGGCAGCAGUGGGGAAUUUUGGACAAUGGGCGCAAGCCUGAUCCAGCCAUGCCGCGUGUCUGAAGAAGGCCUUCGGGUUGUAAAGGACUUUUGUCAGGGAAGAAAAGGCUGUUGCUAAUAUCAGCGGCUGAUGACGGUACCUGAAGAAUAAGCACCGGCUAACUACGUGCCAGCAGCCGCGGUAAUACGUAGGGUGCGAGCGUUAAUCGGAAUUACUGGGCGUAAAGCGGGCGCAGACGGUUACUUAAGCAGGAUGUGAAAUCCCCGGGCUCAACCCGGGAACUGCGUUCUGAACUGGGUGACUCGAGUGUGUCAGAGGGAGGUAGAAUUCCACGUGUAGCAGUGAAAUGCGUAGAGAUGUGGAGGAAUACCGAUGGCGAAGGCAGCCUCCUGGGACAACACUGACGUUCAUGCCCGAAAGCGUGGGUAGCAAACAGGAUUAGAUACCCUGGUAGUCCACGCCCUAAACGAUGUCAAUUAGCUGUUGGGCAACUUGAUUGCUUAGUAGCGUAGCUAACGCGUGAAAUUGACCGCCUGGGGAGUACGGUCGCAAGAUUAAAACUCAAAGGAAUUGACGGGGACCCGCACAAGCGGUGGAUGAUGUGGAUUAAUUCGAUGCAACGCGAAGAACCUUACCUGGUCUUGACAUGUACGGAAUCCUCCAGAGACGGAGGAGUGCCUUCGGGAGCCGUAACACAGGUGCUGCAUGGCUGUCGUCAGCUCGUGUCGUGAGAUGUUGGGUUAAGUCCCGCAACGAGCGCAACCCUUGUCAUUAGUUGCCAUCAUUCAGUUGGGCACUCUAAUGAGACUGCCGGUGACAAGCCGGAGGAAGGUGGGGAUGACGUCAAGUCCUCAUGGCCCUUAUGACCAGGGCUUCACACGUCAUACAAUGGUCGGUACAGAGGGUAGCCAAGCCGCGAGGCGGAGCCAAUCUCACAAAACCGAUCGUAGUCCGGAUUGCACUCUGCAACUCGAGUGCAUGAAGUCGGAAUCGCUAGUAAUCGCAGGUCAGCAUACUGCGGUGAAUACGUUCCCGGGUCUUGUACACACCGCCCGUCACACCAUGGGAGUGGGGGAUACCAGAAGUAGGUAGGGUAACCGCAAGGAGUCCGCUUACCACGGUAUGCUUCAUGACUGGGGUGAAGUCGUAACAAGGUAGCCGUAGGGGAACCUGCGGCUGGAUCACCUCCUUUCUA